AUUGAACGCUGGCGGCAGGCCUAACACAUGCAAGUCGAACGAGUGGCGGACGGGUGAGUAAUGUAUGGGGAUCUGCCUGAUGGAGGGGGAUAACUACUGGAAACGGUAGCUAAUACCGCAUACCAUCAGAUGUACCCAGAUGGGAUUAGCUUGUUGGUGGGGUACAGGCUCACCAAGGCGACGAUCCCUAGCUGGUCUGAGAGGAUGACCAGCCACACUGGAACGGGGACACGGACCAGACUCCUACGGGAGGCAGCAGUGGGGAAUAUUGCACAAUGGGCGCAAGCCGGAUGCAGCCAUGCCGCGUGUAUGAAGAAGGCCUUAGGGUUGUAAAGUACUUUCAGCGGGGAGGCGUUACCCGCAGAAGAAGCACCGGCUAACUCCGUGCCAGCAGCCGCGGUAAUAC
rnacentral:rRNA from 1 species